CUCAUGAUGGCUGCAGACGCCAAUGUGUCGAGUCCAUUUAGCUCAUUGUCGGCAGCGAUUUGAGAGCUUUCGGCAUGUUAGCAUUAGUCUGUUUUCAAACAAACGCCUACGCUCUUCUCCAAACAACAAGAACGUAGCGCGUCGGCGUAUUGUUCUAGAACUCACCGGAUGCUCACGCAGAGACUGGGAGUGGCCUUCCAUUAGCACAAGAGGGAAUGAACAAGGCGGCUCCAGUCCCUGGUAUUGCUGAAUCCGUGGGCGACAUCAAACGACGCUAUGAAGACACGGCGCAGGUGCUGUUUUUGGAACGUCGGGAGAAACAGCGUCCUUCGAGUUUUCUCUCCUACGGGGAGACGAAGAAGUGCUACGCGUACAGUGGCUCGGGAAAACCGUACGUCGAUGUAAAAGAAGGAGUUCGUGCCGACCAGCAGUCGUUUCAGAGUCAAAUUUGCAGCAUCAUGUAGUUGGUGGUAGCCUAGCAAUGCAGUCUCCACAGUGACCAAAAAUGUAGGGGCCCGAAGGCAGCACAUGUUUCUUCUCUGAUAUGUUGAUAUUUUUUGUUCUUUUUUUGAGUGGGAGCAUGCUACUGACACAGUUCCGCCCAGUUGUGAUCCACGGCCUGCAGCGUUUUUCAGCCGGCCCAAUCUAGUCUUUCUUGUGGAACUGUUCACUCGAUGUUUUAAGUUCGCAGUCCCAUCUCUUGAGUUUACAUACAGGCAUAAAAUCGAUGCAACUGUGUGUUUGGUGACCUGUUACACUUGAUGCGCGGACGUUUCAUUGUUACAACAUACACUUAGCUGCCAUCUGUAUCAGGCAGUGGUACUAUGUGUUAUAUUUCGUUUUCUUCAUAAAGAAACUUGUUUCCCAAACACCUUUUACAACUUUCUGCAUAUGGUGUGUUAUAUACUGUAAUGUAGUGUUAAAAAACACAGAUCGCAACUGUGUUUUUUUAAGCUUAGGGCCUCAGUUUGGGCCCUUUAAAUAGAGCAGUUAUAGUAUUCCUUUUUGUAUAUGUUACAGUAUUAAAAAGGAAGUGUUUGUCCCCAUUUGUUUUUUGGUGUUAAGCUUUGUAUUCACUUUAAUGUAGCCAAGGCAAAUUGAACUCCAAGAACCAAAAGUAAACAGACCACAGUUCUUUUAUAGAUGUCCAUGGGCAUGUGGCUAACUUAAGAGUUCUAGCAUAAGCAAUGUGUCCAUGUCAUGCCGUAACACUGGUGUGCUUAUGCAUGAGCACAACAUCUUCGUUGAGCCCAACGAGAUCACGUGGCAGUGCGACCUUGAUUUCAAAGCGGUGUGCUGCUUACCUCAUAGUACAAGGAAGUGAACUGUGUGCUCUUGAUUUAAUGCUGAGUGGGGCACAUGAGCUUUAUAAAGCAUAUGUGCUGCUGCUGUUAAGAUGAGAGGUGAAGUGGUUGGAACAUGCAGUAAAAUAAAUGUACAAACUCGGGUAAGGUGCUUCACACACCUUAUGCCUGUUUUCGCAACUUUAAUUCCAUGCUGCUACUUUGGUCAUUUGAAAAAAAAAAAAAAAGAAGUGUGUACAUGUUUUUUUGUUAGGCAAAGAUCAAUUUUCCCUUUUGUUCAGGGGAAGAUAGAAUCUUGAAGCAAUGAAAAAGUUAUUGGAGCACGGCAUGUUGCUUGAGCCAAGGUUUUGGCCAAGGGAUUUGGCUUCUUCAAGUCUGCAAGGUUGCAGUUUCAUAGAAAGUUCUUGGAACGCUUCGUGUCGCAAGGUUUUUUUUUUUUUUUUCAUGUCUCUUUGCGUAAGUUGAAACAGUGAGUAAUGUAGGCAGGACAAAAAUAGUGUUCAGUUUCUUAGUAAUAUUCACAAAGGGUAAUGACGCCGUAGCAAGCAUUAUUGUGAAAUGUGUUGCAUGCGCUUGAGAAAGAAAACAAACAAACAAAAAACUUACUGGGCCUAGCUGCCCCUUUCCUUGAAGGCUGCGUUUUACAAGCAGGGUACUGAGGAAAAUCACCCAAAAUGUAACUGUUGUGCUGUAUGCUGUGAAUUAUCCUAAAAUAGCGCUUAAGGUGCCAAUGAGCUAUUACGAUUGCAUUUGUCUUUGCCUCUAAGUGUUUUCAAAGUUCUUUCAGCAGAAUGAUCCUUCAGUUGUCGCGACUAUGAUACACAGAAAAAAGGCUGUUGAGCUGUAGUUAUAUGUACAAAAUUUAAGUUUUGGGGCUCUGUGUGCCAAAAUCACAAUGUGGUUAUGAGGCGCAUCGUGGUGGGUUCGGCUACUCGGGGUUUCUUAACAUGCACAGGUUUUCUUCCACUUUGCCCCCCGUUCGAAUCUGGUUGAUGUGGGCAGGAAUCAAACUCCUUGCACGAGAUUAGAUGUGCAACACCUUACCUGCUAAGCUGCCACGGUGUAUGUGGGUGAAGUAAUUUGGAGGAACAAGGCAAAGCAGUAGUGUAAAAGAACUGCUUACAUUUUUCAACGAUCAUUUGCUGGAGCCCAUUCUGUGGGCCAAUUGUGAGAAGUAGUAUAUUGUGUUGCUGUAUGGAAGAUCGGCCAAGUUAUCCUUCCAAGUACUAGAUGGCUGCCUGCCGUCUCCCUUCCCAUUACCCCCGACUCGUUAAGGACCCCUUGGAAGCCCCAUUGAAAAUUUAGGCAAUGUGCUUGAAGUUUUGUUAAGAGCCAUCAAAGAAGUGCUCUACUGCAGCAAUUUUUUAAAAUUUUUUAGUAGUAGCUGAGGUGUACGCAUGUAGAUAUAACACACGGUGGCGUGAGACGAGCUACCUUCUCCUCGCCACUUGGGGGCUCUUUCGAAUAGUUUCCACAAGUAACAUUUGUUUAUCUCGUCACGUGACUCCCAACACACAACUUCCCCGUCUAUCCUUGCACUCUUUUCUCUUCAAUAUGGUGCAUUUCAGGAAAAUUCAGCAUAAUAUGAACUCACCAGAGUCCUAGAUGUCUUUCUGCUAUUCUUAGUGCUUGUAUGGCUGCAUGGUGCUGUAUAGUGCACAAGGACCGUGCCCAUGUCAGCUUGCUCAUAGCCACCAUUUUCUCUUCGUGGGGGGAAAUGUGUGCGGGCUUUUGUCAAAGUUUUCUGUUAUUUUUGCAGUGUAUAUUGGUGAAUACCUUGUAGGUGCAUGUUUAUGUGCCUUGAUUGUUUGCUUGCACUGCCGAAACCUGGUGAAGGGCCCUUUAGGGGAUGGUUUGCCUUGUUGAACUUUACUAUUACUGUUGCUAUUGAAAUACACCUAUACUGCAAAUACGCAAUAUGGUGAAUUUAAUCACAAUGCAAACCUGUUUUCUUGUCAAACUUAUCUGAACAUUUUCUGAAUCCACUCUUGACAAAAUUUUCAAGACAUCCAAAAGGAGCAUUAGAUGCUAGAUACUAGUUGCAAGUUGAUAGACAAAUAAAAAAAGACUUGUGGUUGUGAGUAUGAAACUUUAGCAUUUUUGCGUGAUUGUGAAUGAGUCGCUCUAUAAAAAAAAGUGCUAAUGAAGUCUU